rnacentral:rRNA from 1 species
CCCUUAGAUGUUCUAGGCCGCACGCGUGCUACACUGAGUGGAUCAGCGGGUCAGGUUGCGCGAAAGUGUUUCCUAAUCUUUAAAUCCGCUCGUGAUGGGGAUUGACGGUUGCAAUUUUCCGUCAUGAACGAGGAAUACCUUGUAAGCGCGGGUCAUCAUCCCGCGCUGAAUACGUCCCUGCCCUUUGUACACACCGCCCGUCGCUCCUACCGAUUGAGUGGUCCGGUGAGGCUUUGGGAUCUGAGCGGAAAGAGCGUUUCGCUGUUUCUGCCCGGAAAACUCAGUCGAACCUUAUCAUUUAGAGGAAGGAGAAGUCGUAACA